AGCAGCAUGGUGUAUUGCGCACGCGGGGUUCCGUUGUGGAGGUUAUUAAGGCGUUAACCCCGAAGUCCUUGUUCGAAUCAAGGUGCUGUUC